GACGCUGGGCGUGCGGUGUUCUGUCUCCGCUCCCGUUUCGCUGUCACCACUCGUUCCCUCCCGGAGCCCGGGACAGGCUGGGCGCGCGCCCGUGCUCAGUGCUGUCCGGGCUGGUUUCCCCGGUCCCUGACUAACCGCUUUCUGCCCCUUCUGUCGCCACCCCUGCCCAAGGUCGCCCCUCUGCGCUCGCCCCUGUCCCGGGAGGGUGGGAAGCUUUGACCCCGCCCUGCCCACUCGCGUCUCCGCAGCCGUAGCCGCACCUGCCCCAAUAUGAAUAGGGUCAACGACCCACUUAUUUUUAUAAGAGAUAUUAAGCCCGGACUGAAAAACUUAAAUGUCGUCUUUAUUGUCCUGGAGAUAGGACGCGUGACCAAAACCAAAGACGGCCAUGAAGUGAGAUCGUGCAAAGUAGCAGAUAAAACGGGCAGCAUCACUAUUUCCGUGUGGGAUGAGAUCGGAGGUCUUAUACAGCCAGGGGAUAUUAUUCGGUUGACCAGAGGGUAUGCAUCCAUGUGGAAAGGAUGUCUGACACUUUAUACUGGAAGGGGUGGUGAACUUCAAAAAAUUGGGGAUCUAGGUGCGGUGCAGGCAGCCGCAAUGCGAGAUUCCAUACACUACUACCCUGGUAAUGAUCUCCACCCUGACCUGGAGGAGCCAUCCUCUCUAGGGGUGUAAGAUUUUGUAUGGUUUAUUCAGAAGUGCCAAAUUUCAGUGAACCCAACCCAGAUUAUCGAGGACAGCAGAACAAAGGGGCACAGAGUGAACAGAAGAAUAAUUCCACGAAUAAUAAUACGGGUACAGGUGCAUUCGGACCAGUGGGAAAUGGUGUUCACACUGGCACUGAAUCAAGGGGACACCAGUUUUCACAUGCUGGCAGAAGCAAUGGCCGGGGACCUCUAAAUCCACAACUACAAGGAACCGCUAGUAAUCAAACAGUGAUGACCACAAUCAGUAAUGGCAGGGACCCUCGGAGAGCCUUUAAAAGAUGACCUAUGCUAAAUACUCACAUGUAGUUUUUAUACUACAUGCCCUACUUGAACACUUAUUGCACUUUUAUUUAUUGUUAACUGUGAAAAGUAUGUCCUUUAUUGGGUUUCCUUUUAUAUUCUUGGUUUGUUAAGAAGAAUGGUUUGUUUUUAUAGCAAAACUGUUAAGCUGCUCAAGUCUCCUGUUGAAGAAUGGGAACACUGAAAAGUAGGGGCAUUUAUUUUUAGAGCAAAAAGAUUAUUGGAUAACCUCUAAAAAACCUGCACCCAUUUCAUGGGUGAGUUACAUCAGCUUUAUAGCCUCUAUGAGUCUAUCUUCUGUAUAAGUUUUGUAAUAUUUAACAUAAGGCUUAAUGGGAGAUGUUCUUUUGUCUUGUAUUCAGAUAUUGCCAACUAAAGCAAUAACUAUCAAAAAACACAAGAACUUGUCAAUGCUAGCAGUAAUUUUUGAGUAUUUGUGGCUCUCAGAAUGAUUGACUUUGUUGAGUGACUACCAUUAAGAUUUUCCAAGGACUGACUCAUCCCAAAUUUUUGUUGUAUUACCAGAAAAACAGAUUCCUUAUCAGAAUUUGGAAUAGAAUGUAAUAUAUAUUUCAACAAGUAAUUUUAAAAGAAAGGCUACAUUUAUUUUAGAGUAGUGCUCCUAACAUGUAUUAUCAACUUUGUGGAUUACAUUGGAGGAAAAUUUAAAAGUGGGGCCUUGAAUGUUUAUUUUUUGCAACUACCAUGUUAAAUACUGAAGUAUAAUUUGAGGGAGUUAUAACGUUAUAAUAAACAUUGAUCUGAUUAUUUAAAAAAAAUUGCAAACAUACUGGAGGUGAGUCAAAUUGAAUUAUAUAGUAACAUGCAGUCUUAAGUCCUCAUUACUUAACAGGUACUCAGCCUGGAGUGAAAAUCCUGGGUACUAACUUUGAGAGGGGUGAGUGUGCAUGUUGUCAAAGUUUCUGAACACAGUUCAUGUAGCCUUAUUAGCAAAAGUUUUAAGAAAUGGCUCUAUCAAAGAAGCAAUUACAGCUUUAUUCAGAAAUGUAAAGGUGGAAUUUAUGUACAUGUCGUAAGUGGUACCCACUUCCCCUUUUUACUGUAGGGUGGAUAACUCUUAGGAUUUAACUCUUUGAAUAUUAUCUCUUGAAUAAAGCGUGUGUUAAUGUUAACAAAUCUACCUAAUUUUUGCUCUUUCAAUGACUUGCAGUGGAGAGCCAGUACAUCUUUACUACUACUGUUGUAGUGAUGGCAUCAACCUUAUGGUUACUUAGCUCUGCAUUUGUUGCUUUGUUUUUUUUCCACUUCAAAUCACAAAAUAAGUAGAUUUUGUUUUCUGAAAACUCCAUAGCAUUUGAAUACAAAAAGUUGUGCCAGUUUGUCCUACUUCAGCGUGUUUAACAAAUAUUUCAGUACACAGUAUGUAUUAGGCACUGUGUGGAAAGUGUUAAGGGUUAAACAAAAUACCGAAUACUCUCUACAAGUUUAUUUGUGUUCUAUAGUACUUUUGUAACUGGGGUUACAAAAAUUAUAGAAAUUUUGUUCCUUUAUUCAUAUGCAUAUUGAUGAUUAUAAUUUGGCUUUGUUUGUGAUUAAUGUUUUCUUAAGAUUUUCACAUUGCAGAAUACCUCAGAAGAAGUUGUCUAAGGAUUGGGAUAGAGAGUAUGUUUCUUAAAAUUGUAGAUGUUUAGAAUUUUUAAAAAACAAAUUAGUAUAUGAUUGUUUUAUGUAAGUAAGAUAGGAGCAACACUUUAAAUUAUUUGUAGGAGGAUGUGGCAUUAAAGGUGAUUUUAAAAGAAAAGAUUUUGGAGUUUUAGAAAAUUUAAAUACUGUCAGGUAUGGAAUGCUGGGCUUCCAAUCCUGGCCUCAUUGUCUCCUCACCUGUGAUGUUGGGUGAUGUUUUAUUACACUUGAAAUGUCUCUGAGCCUUAGGUUCCACAACUAUGAAAACAAGUAAGUAUGAGUAUCCUUUCUAGACUUGUUUAAGAUUUCCAUGUAAGUAAUUAUAAUGAUUUGCGACACAUAAUAAUGUCAUCUUAUACCCCAACAGUAGGAAAAAAAUGCAGAAUUCAGUGUGAAAGUAUUGUUACCCUUUAACACAGUGGUCCCCAACCUUUUUGGCACCAGGGACCAGUUUCCUGGAAGACAGUUUUUCCAUGGGAUGGGGGGGAUGGUUUUGGGAUGAAACUGUUUCACUUCAGGUUAUCAGUCAUUAGUUAGAUUCGCAUAAGGAGCGUGCAACCUGAAUCCCUUGCACACGCAGUUCACAAUAGGGUUCAUGCUCCUAUGAGAAUCUAAUGCCACCACUAAUCUGACAGGAGGCGGAGCUCGGUUACGCUCCCUCGCCUGCCACUCAGCUCCUGCUGGGUGUUCCUGUUCCUAGCAGGCCAGAGUUGAUACUGAUCUAGUGGUUGGGGACCCCUGUUUAACAAGUUGAGAUUAAAUGGAGAAAGACCUAAGCUUUUACUUCUGUGAUUGACACUUGCUUCAAUAACGUAACCUUGUUCUGUGUUUUUAUCAUUUAUUAACAGAUUUCUUUUUUCUUAAGGGAAGCCUCCAAAAGCAAAGCAAAGUGAGUUACAAUCCAUAAUGAAUAUUUGCCUUACCAGCCUACUGGAACACACUUAUGAGGAAGUUAAGAGGAAGAAAGUUUUCUACCUUCCUCCUUCCUGGUGCUCUCAGCUAUCAACUUUGAAAUAAGUUUAAACACCACCUACUGAAAACAAAAACCACUUAGUAUAAAAAUAUCCCCCACC